rnacentral:rRNA from 1 species
UACGUAGGCAGCAAGCGUUGUUCGGAAUUACUGGGCGUAAAGAGUGUGUAGGCGGUGCUCCAAGUCUGGUGUGAAAUCUCCCGGCUCAACUGGGAGGGUGCAUUAGAAACUGGAAUGCUAGAGGAUGGGAGAGGUAAGCGGAAUUCCUGGUGUAGCGGUGAAAUGCGCAGAUAUCAGGAGGAACACCAAUUGCGAAGGCAGCUCGCUGGGACGUUACUGACGCUGAGACGCGAAAGCGUGGGGAGCAAACAGG